AUGUCCAUCUGUCUGUGUGUCUGUAUGUCCGUCUGUCCAUCUGUGUGUCUAUAUGUCCAUCUGUGUGUCUGUCUGUGUGUCUGUGUCUGUGUCUGUGUCCGUCUGUGUGUCUAUCUAUCUGUCUGUAUGUCUGUGUCUGUGUGUGUGUCCGUCUGUCCGUCUGUGUGUCCGUCUGUGUGUCUGUGUCUGUGUCUGUCUGUCUGUCCUGUCUGUGUGUCCUGUGUGUCUGUUGUCUGUGUGUCCAUCUGUGUGUCUGUGUGUUCUGUCUGUCUGUGUGUCCAUCUCUGUGUCUGUGUGUCGUCUGUGUGUCCGUUCUGUGUGUCUGUCUGCCUGUGUGUCUGUCCGUCUGUGUGUCUAUAUGUCCAUCUGUCUGUGUGUCUGUGUGUGUGUCUAUCUAUCUGUCUGUCUGUCUGUAUGUCUGUGUCUGUGUGUCUAUCUAUCUGUCUGUCUGUGUCUGUGUGUCCGUCUGUGUGUCUGUGUGUCUAUAUGUCCAUCUGUGUGUCCGUCUGUGCAUCUGUCUGUCCGUCUGUGUGCCUGUAUGUCUGUGUCUGUGUGUCCAUCUGUGUGUCUGUCUGUAUGUCCGUCUGUGUGUCUGUCCGUCUGGUGUCUGUGUGUGUCUGCCUGUGUGUCCAUCUCUGUGUCCGUCUGUGUGUCUGUGUGCCUGUGUCUCCGUCUGUCUGUCUGUGUGCCUGUGUGUCCAUCUGUGUGCCUGUGUCUCCGUCUGUCUGUCCGUCUGUCCGUCUGUCUGUCUGUGUGUCCUGUGUGUCUGUCCAUCUGUGUGUCUGUGUCUCCGUCUGUCUGUGUCUGUGUGUCCGUCUGUUGUGUCUGCCUGCCUGUCUGUGUCUGUGUGUCCGUCUGUCCGUCUGUCCGUCUGUCUGUCCGUCUGUGUGCCCGUAUGUCCGUCUGUGUGCCCGUGUGUCCGUCUGUGCAUCUGUCUGUCCCUCUGCGUGUCUGAGCGUGUCUGUGUGUCUGUCUGUCUGUGUGUCUGAGUGUGUCUGCCUGUGUGUCCAUCUCUGUGUCCGUCUGUGUGUCUGUGUGUCUGUCUGUCCGUCUGUGUGUCUGUCCGUCUGUGUUGUCUGUCUGUGUGUCCUGUGUGUCUGUCUGUCCGCCUGUGUGUCUAUCUGUCUGUGUGUCUAUAUGUCCAUCUGUCUGUCUGUCUGUAUGUCCGUAUGUCCAUCUGUGUGUGUCUGCCUGUGUCUGUGUGUCUGUCUGUCCGUCUGUGUGUCUGUCUGUCCAUCUGUGUGUCUGUCCAUCUGUCUGUCUGUGUGUCUGUGUCUGUGUCUGUCUGUAUGUCUGUGCCUGUGUGUCCAUCUGUGUGUCUGUGUGUCCAUCUGCCUGUCUGUGUCUGUGUCUCCGUCUGUCUGUCUGUGUGCCUGUAUGUCUGUCUGUGUGUCCGUCUGUGCGUCUGUCUGCCUGUCUGUGUCUGUGUGUCCAUCUGUGUGCCUGUGUCUCCGUCUGUCCGUCUGUGUGUCCGUCUGUCCGUCUGUCUGUCUGUCUGUGUGUCUGUGUCUGUGUCUCCGUCUGUCUGUCCGUCUGUGUCUCCGUCUGUCUGUGUGUCCGUCUGUCCGUCUGUCUGUGUGUCUGUGUGUCCGUUCUGUGUGUCUGUCUGUCCGUCUGUCUGUGUGUCUGUGUGUCUGUGUCUGUGUGUCUGUCCGUCUGUGUGUCCGUCUGUGUGUCUGUCCGUCUGUCCAUCUGUCUGUGUGUCCAUCUCUGUGUCCGUCUGUGUGUCUGUCCUGUCUGUGUCUGUCUGUCCGUCUGUGUGUCUGUGUCCGUCUGUGUGUCUGUUGUGUCUGUCCAUCUGUGUGUCUGUGUGUCUAUAUGUCCAUCUGUCUGUCUGUAUGUCCGUAUGUCCAUCUGUGUGUCUGUGUGUGUGUGUGUGUGUGUGUGUCUGUCUGUGUGUCUGCCUGUGUCUGUGUGUCCGUCUGUGUGUCCGUCUGUCCGUCUGUCUGUGUGUCUAUCUGUCUGUCUGUGUGCCCGUAUGUCCGUCUGUCCGUCUGUCUGUGUGUCCAUCUGUGUGUCUAUCUGUCUGUCUGUGUCUGUCUAUCUGUCUGUGUGUCUAUCUAUCUGUCUGUCCGUGUCUGUGUGUCCUUCUGUGUGCCCGUGUGUCCAUCUGUGUGCCUGUGUCUCCGUCUGUCUGUCCGUCUGUCUGUCUGUAUGUCUGUGUGUCUGCCUGUAUGUCUGUGUCUGUGUCUGUGUGUCCAUCUGUGUGUCUGCCUGUAUGUCCGUGCCUGUGUGUCCAUCUGUGUGUCUGUCUGUGUGUCCAUCUGUGUGCCUGUGUCUCCGUCUGUCCGUCUGUCCGUCUGUGUGUCUGUCCAUCUGUCUGUGUGUCCAUCUGCCUGUCUGUGUCUGUCUGUCCGUCUGUCCGUCUGUCUGUCCGUCUGUCCGUCUGUGUGCCUGUGUCUGUGUGUCCAUCUGUGUCUCCGUCUGUCCGUCUGUGUGCCUGUCUGUCUGUGUCUGUCUGUCCGCCUGUGUGUCUAUCUAUCUGUCUGUCUGUGUCUGUGUGUCUGUCUGUGUGUCUAUGUGUCUAUAUGUCCAUCUGUCUGUGUGUCCAUCUGUGUGCCUGUGUCUCCGUCAGUCCAUCUGUGUGUCUGUGUCUGUGUGUCCAUCUGUGUCUCCGUCUGUCUGUGUGUCCAUCUGUGCAUCUGUCCGCCUGUCUGUGUCUGUGUCUCUGUCUGUCUUUCUGUGUGUCUGUCUGCCUGUCUGUGUCUGUGUGUGUGUGUGUCUGUCUGUCUGUCUGUGAGUCUGUCUGCCUGUCCGUGUCUGUGUGUCCGUCUGUGUGCUUGUGUGUCUGUCCAUCUGUCUGUGUGUCCAUCUGUGUGUCUGCCUGUAUGUCUGUGUCUGUGUGUCCGUCUGUGUGUCCAUCUGUCUGUCUGUGUCUGUGUGUCUGUCUGUGUGCCCGUAUGUCCGUCUGUGUCUCCGUCUGUCUGUCUGUGUGCCUGUCUGUCUGUGUGGCCAUCUGUCCGUCUGUCUAUCUGUCUGUGUCCGUCUGUGUGCCUGUGUGUCUGUCUGUGUGUCCGUCUGUCUGUCUGUGUGCCUGCCUGUCUGUGUCUGUGUGUCCGUCUGUCUGUCCAUCUGCCUGUCUGUGUCUGUGUGUCUGUCUGUCUACCCAUCUGUCUGUGUGCCUGUCUGUGUCUGUGUGUCUGUCCGUCUGUCUAUCUGUCUGUGUGUCCGUCUGUCUGUGUGCCCGUGUGUCCGUCUGUGUGUCCAUUGUGUGCCCGUGUGUCCGUCUGUGUGUCCGUCCGUCUGUCUGUGCGGGGGGCGCCUCCUCCCUUCCCGGCCCCGCAUGAUGCCGUCUUGACGUUCACCAGGGCCUGCCGGCAGCUGCAGGGGUAG
rnacentral:lncRNA from 1 species